GGCGAACGGGUGAGUAACACGUGGGUAACCUGCCCCCAUCUCUGGGAUAACCGUUGGAAACGGCGGCUAAUACCGGAUACGACCUGGCUCCGCAUGGUGCUGGGUGGAAAGUUUUUGCGGUUGGGGAGGGGCCCGCGGCCUAUCAGCUUGUUGGUGCGGUAGUGGCGCACCAAGGCUUUGACGGGUAGCCGGCCUGAGAGGGCGGUCGGUCACAUUGGGACUGAGAUACGGCCCAGACUCCUACGGGAGGCAGCAGUGGGGAAUUUUGCACAAUGGGCGAAAGCCUGAUGCAGCGACGCCGCGUGAGGGAUGACGGCUUUCGGGUUGUAAACCUCUUUUAUCCACCACGAAGGCCCCGUAUUCGCGGGGUUGACGGUAGUGGUUGAAUAAGCGCCGGCUAACUACGUGCCAGCAGCCGCGGUAAGACGUAGGGCGCGAGCGUUGUCCGGAUUUAUUGGGCGUAAAGGGCUCGUAGGCGGUUGAUUGCGUCCGUCGUGAAAGGCCUCGGCUUAACCGGGGUUUUGCGGUGGAUACGGGUCGACUUGAGGCAAUUAGGGGAGAUCGGAAUUCUACGUGUAGCGGUGAAAUGCGCAGAUAUGUGGAGGAACACCGGUGGCGAAGGCGGAUCUCUGGGAUUGUUCUGACGCUGAGGAGCGAAAGCGUGGGGAGCGAACAGGAUUAGAUACCCUGGUAGUCC
rnacentral:rRNA from 1 species